AAUUGCUUUGGUUAAGUGAAUCCCAAAGUCAGUGAAGAAGAAAUUUACAAGUCCCAGGCGAGCAGGCAGUAUGAAGAAGACGUUUCAGUUUUUGAAGCUGGGAAGAAGGAAGGAGUGAGAGUAUUUUCCAUUUUAGAAAUACUGAGGCACAAAACACAGUUGCUUCUAGAAUUUUCAUACAUGAAAUCCUUUGUCCUGUAUGUGCAUCAUGUGUAACCGUAAAGUCUGUAAACUGCUCACUAUUCGUCUCUGAUGUCCAAUAAGAACAACUCCAAUUCUUCUAAUGUCACUGCAAGAUAAAGGUUUUCAAAGUCUACUGGAACAAAAUACAAAUGUUCUUUAUAUAUAUAAUUUUAGACUGGACUACUUUCCUGCAGUUGCAACAGAACUGGUCUUCGAACUACUCUACUUACAAAAGUCCACUAUAAUUUGCUUAAGAGAAAAGAAGGGAUUCUCUUGCGAGAAGCAGACAGAAAUAACUGAAUAAUUUGAUCUUACGAAUUCAGUAUAGGUGGAAUAAGAGAAAGGUAUAGAAUAGAACCUUGAAAUGCUCCAAAAUUUGCACCUUUCAAGUGUUUGGUAAAUAGUUUAUAGCUUAAAAUGUUGUUCUGAGAGAAAAAUACAUUUUAAAAAAUAUUUCAGUAUAUAUUUUAGACGGACAUUUUUCCAUUUAAAAUCCAAAAUGGGCAGAGUAGAUUGGCAAAAACAUUGAAACCCAAUAAUAUAGGGUAAAUAAAAUCCAAUCUGAAGAUUUAUGUCUAAUUUUAUCUCUAAUUUUGCAAUAACUGUUUUGUAUAAGGGCCUGUCUACUUUCAACAACUAUGGCUCCUCUAAACAACUGACAGAGCAUUUAAAAAUAAAAAUAAUUCACUGCUACAAAUUAGGAGAAAAGCAUUGUUAUCUCUAAACAUUUCCAUUUAGCAGUUUAAAUAAGAAACAUUGUUGAGAAAUGUAAUUUCCAUGGGGCUGUUAAGGACAAAGUAACAGCUAGAAGUCCCCUAACAAUAUCUGCUGUAACUGCCAGAAAAUUCAGAUCUGCAAAAUGAUAACCACAAAUCAUGUAAAUGAUCUACUGAAAAGUUUGGUUGACAGUAGAUUAGUUGUCCGUAGGUUUAUUCUACAAUAUUGCUUAUAUAACAAGGAUCUCUAUGAAAAGUUCUUAAAAAGGAACAAUUUUCCCGAAUCUCAUCACAAAAGUCGUCAUAAAAAAAUACAAAAGAAAACCUUGAUAAACUUUAAAAAAUGUAAGAACUUGAAAUCAAGUGCUUUGGACUGACAAAAGAAAAACAACUAUUUUGCCAUAACCAUAAAGGAUCUACUUGUAUAAAUGUGAAAAGAAUACUUUAAGCUAACUAUUAAGCUUAUAUGUUGUGCUGUAUAUGGAUCGGGAUACUGCCUCAUCCAGGACUAGAAGGAAUGUUACAUAAAUGGAGAAAGUAGAUUCGGCUAAAUCUCAAUAUAAUCUAGAAAUUAGUAUUCCUCAGUGAAGUGACUCUGGGCGUUUUCACAAGACAAUAAUUAUAACCAUAUCUCCAAGUGAACUAUGAAACACUAACAGCAAAGAAAAAUAAAGAUUUCAGAAUGGCUUUCAAACUUGAAUAGUAUUGACAAUCUUUUAGAAGAUGUUAAACAUGCAGCACAUGCAAGGAAAGCUGAGAAUAUUUUUGAGUUGGAAGAAUUCUAAAAGUUAAAGUCUUGAAAAAAUCUGUGUGAUGGAAUAAAGAAGAAUUGAAGAGAAAUUAAAUUCUAUGACAAUAUUUGAUUGAAUUAAAAAUUAAGACUGUUAGAAGUAAAAGAAAGGAAAAUAAAGUUGGUUUAAAUGAUCAA